GCAUUGCUUUGGCUAGUGGUCUGCAGCAGGCUACAGCAUGGAUUGCUGGAGACACACUGGGAACAAUUGUACUUGAGCCCCUCUCCAGCUGCUGCAAUAAUCCAGGAAGAUGGCAAGCAGCAGAAUCUGAAGGACACAGCUGGAAACAAAAGCAAGGAGGCAGGUAGGAGAGCGGCCUCUGAAGGCAGAGCACACAGCCGACCAGACUUCAUCUCACUCAUGACGAGCUGACGUGGCAACGGAACGGAGC
rnacentral:lncRNA from 1 species